UACGAAGGGUGCUAGCGUUGUUCGGAAUUACUGGGCGUAAAGCGCGCGUAGGCGGCUAUUCAAGUCAGGGGUGAAAUCCUUGGGCUCAACCCAAGAAUUGCCUUUGAAACUGUAUAGCUGGAGUGUCGGAGGGGAUAGCGGAAUUCCUAAUGUAGAGGUGAAAUUCGUAGAUAUUAGGAGGAACACCGGUGGCGAAGGCGGCUAUCUGGGACGGUACUGACGCUGAGACGCGAAAAGCGUGGGGAGCGAACAGG
rnacentral:rRNA from 1 species